GAUCAUGGCUCAGGAUGAACGCUGGCGGCGUGCCUAGCACAUGCAAGUCGAGCGAAGCACUUUGCUUAGAUUCUUCGGAUGAAGAGGAUUGUGACUGAGCGGCGGACGGGUGAGUAACGCGUGGGUAACCUGCCUCAUACAGGGGGAUAACAGUUAGAAAUGGCUGCUAAUACCGCAUAAGACCACCAGCACCGCCAUGGUGCGGGGUAAAACGUACCGUGGU
rnacentral:rRNA from 1 species